rnacentral:rRNA from 1 species
GACGAACGCUGGCGGCGUGCUUAACACAUGCAAGUCGAACGGAAAGGCCCUGCUUUUGUGGGGUGCUCGAGUGGCGAACGGGUGAGUAACACGUGAGUAACCUGCCCUUGACUUUGGGAUAACUUCAGGAAACUGGGGCUAAUACCGGAUAGGAGCUCCUGCUGCAUGGUGGGGGUUGGAAAGUUUCGGCGGUUGGGGAUGGACUCGCGGCUUAUCAGCUUGUUGGUGGGGUAGUGGCUUACCAAGGCUUUGACGGGUAGCCGGCCUGAGAGGGUGACCGGCCACAAGGGGACUAAGGUACGGCGCAGAAGCGAACGGGAGGCAGUAGUGGGGAGUCUUGCACAGUGGGCGGAAGCCUGAUGCAGAAACGCCGCGUGCGGGAUGACGGCCUUCGGGUUAAGAACAGCUUUCGCCUGUGACGAAGCGUGAGUGACGGUAAUGGGUAAAGAAGCACCGGCUAACUACGUG